GUUUAUAUCUCACUUUUUUUUUCAUUUGUUUUCUCUAUAUAUACCAACUGGACAGUAAUAUUUAAUUUCAUUCAAAACAAUACUAUCGCACACAGGAUGAAGAAGUUAUAAGUGAAAAGAAGCACUAUGGGGAUUCCAAACACGUCUGCCCAGUCGCAAUAAAGGACAACUUUAUUCUACAGCCAGGACUCCAGGAUAAUGCAGCUUUAUACAGAGAGAAGACAUACUACUGCUCAAGCCCUGAAGCAAGAAAUACAUUUCUACAGAAUCCUGAGAAUUAUGUUGUCCAUAAAGAACCAUUACAAGCACCACCCUUAAGAGUCCUCUUGAUUGGAACAGGUGGCACUGGGAAAACAGCUAAUGCAAGAUGGUUAGCCAACAAGCUAGGUAUGUUCCACAUCCAGUUUCAAGAACGCCUGCAAGAGAUCAUGCUGUCGAAGCUGGA